rnacentral:rRNA from 1 species
UCAGACGAUGCGUCAUGCAUAUCAAUAAGCGGAGGAAAAGAAACUAACAAGGAUUCCCCUAGUAACGGCGAGUGAAGCGGGGAGAGCUCAAAUUUGAAAUCUUAAAGGGUUUCCCUUUACGAAUUGUAGUUUAAAGAAGUGUUUUCUGUUGAGGUUUUGGUAAAAGUUCUUUGGAAUAGGACAUCAUAGAGGGUGAGAAUCCCGUAUUUGACCUUUACUUUCAACUUUGUGAUACACUUUCAAAGAGUCGGAUUGUUUGGGAAUGCAGUCCAAAAUGGGUGGUAAAUUUCAUCUAAAGCUAAAUAUUGGCGAGAGACCGAUAGCGAACAAGUACCGUGAGGGAAAGAUGAAAAGAACUUUGAAAAGAGAGUUAAACAGUACGUGAAAUUGUCAAAAGGGAAGCGUUUGACACCAGUGUUGUUUUUCUGAAAAUCAAUUAAAGAACUGUUUAUGCUAAGCUGUUUAGACUUUAUCAGCUAAUCUGUUUAGUUUUGAGCUUUUCUUUAAUGCACUUUUCAGUUAACAAGUCAACAUCAAUUUCUUUUGCUGUAAAAAAGCUUGAGGAAAGGUGGCUUGAGAUUCGUCUUAAGUGUUUAUAGCCUCUUGCCUAUGCAGUCGGAGAGAUUGAGGUCUGCAGCGUAGAUCCUUCGGGGCUAAAUGCAUUUGUGCUAAGUUAUAGCAUUUCAUAGACAACUUGUUGACUAUGAUUUGUCUUGUAGCUUACUCGCUUAUGUUAUUUUACCUACGCUUAGGAUGUUGAAUCUGUGCGAGACUAC